AGGCUUAGCUGGGUCACUUGUUACCCUCUCACCUCUGGCUGACUAUGACUAUGAUAAUAUCUGACUUUUAAAAAAACAAACUAGCAAGCCUGUUAUGUUACUGCUUAAUUAAUUCCAUGUUUCAGAUGUUAGUAAAAUGUGCCACCCUGUGGCCCCUUUAAGUUGAUAUUUUAUGACAGUAGAAGAAGAGUUAAACAGGAAGUGGAUGUUUUCUUGCUAUGCUGUUUCAAGAUGGCCGCACCACAUUCAUGUCCUUCUUUUGGGUGUUUGUUAAAGCAUUGUCUUUUCACAAAAUGAAAGAACCAGUAAACUUCAUAAGAUCUCAUCUAUUGUCUGGAGUUCCUGGGUUCAUGUUUAGCUGUUUGGAUAGCUAGUCAGACUUCUAGCGAGGCCAUUUACAAAGCCGUAACAAGCGAAUACAAUAAAAUGUUGCUGUUGGCUAUAGACAGUGUUGCUGUAUAGCAUACUGUCUGAUUUAUUCUGUAUAUUGCAUAUAGGAAAGCUUUAUGUGAGAUGUAUGUAGCUCUUUAACUGACAAGAUAAACUAGCUACAAUAGUUUCCUAAUUCUUUUUAGAAAUUCACACUAUGUAAAUUUCUAAAGUUAUAGUUACCUACAGCUAGCUAGCUAACUGAAAACCUAGCUAGCUGUAGCUAGCUAGCUUACAGUUACAUGUUUGGCUAAAACACACACAUACACAAACAGAGGGAGAAAGAGCAUUAAUACUGCUUUUAAAAGCUAAUACUUAACACAAUUAUUAAUAAUUAAAUGUCCUAAAUCAUCUUGUUUAUUGGAGGUUAAUAAAAGGAAAACUGACCUAAUAUUAACGUACUCAUCUAUGCUUUUUACUGAUCAAUGUGCAAUAUCAAUAAAGUUGAGAUUCUAAGUAUGAUGUUAUACAACAUAAAGUCUUGGAUUGGGUCUCACUCAUUUUCUGUGUUUGACAAAAGCACUUUCCCUCAAUUCUUAGAUAUACUUUACUGACAUACUUUAUAGUGACUACUUCACAAAUAAGAGACAACUUUUUAUAUGAAACCAUAGAGGUGCCUUAGAGGGUGCUAAGAUGUUUUGGCACCUGAACCCAUCUGUCCUUUAAAAAGGAACAUAAAAAAACUUAGUUUCUUCACUUUGCAAACCUUUAAAUUUGAAUCAGCAAGCAAACAUUUAUGUCAAGUAUGAGGUCUUCCCAUUUCAGGUGCAAUAAUAGUCAUGAUAGGACAAAGCAGGUUGUGAUGGCCUUAACAUCUUGUUGGCAAAUAUCUCAGAUGUGACCUUUGCAAUCAGACAGCAAAAGAGUUCCAGCAACACUGGUGCUAAGUCAUGCUCACAUCAGAUACAGAUGGAAUUAUUUAGGUAAUUAUUUUCUUAGCAGCUGUAAACUUUGAUGAAAUUUGAUAUGCUGCAGAUACAGGAGUAUGGUAUUUCAGCACUGACCUGUUUCUCAUACAAUAAAAAAACAAAGGCAAAACAAGGAAGUAGGCAUUAUUAUUAUUACGUGUUUUAUUUAUUUGUCUUAAACAUAUGAAUGAAUGGAUGAAUCAUGAUCUAGUAAAAGUCUUGUGUUUCUUUUUAAAUUUGAAUUCACAGGUAAUAAAAGGCGUCAUGACAAAGAAACAAAGGGGUAGAUUACAAAUUGUUACACUCUUUGCUUGCAUUGCAUUGUCUUUUGUUCUCAUGUCUUUGGCAAGAGGGGGUAGCCUUGGUAACUGUAAAAAAAAUAUUGCACAUAAUGUUGUUACAGAAAAUAGGUUAAAACAUUUUGGUUCAUCUGGCUUUAAAUAGUAAUAAUAAUGAA